rnacentral:rRNA from 1 species
AUUGAACGCUGGCGGCAGGCCUAACACAUGCAAGUCGAGCGGAGCGGCGGACGGGUGAGUAAUGCCUCGGUAUCUGCCUGGUAGUGGGGGAUAACGUCCGGAAACGGGCGCUAAUACCGAAUACUUUCAGAUGAGCCUAGGUCGGCUUAGCUAGUUGGUGGGGUAAAGGCCUACCAAGGCGACGAUCCGUAACUGGUCUGAGAGGAUGAUCAGUCAGACUGGAACUGAGACACGGGCCAGACGCCUACGGGAGGCAGCAGUGGGGAAUAUUGGACAAUGGGCGAAAGCCUGAUGCAGCCAUGCCGCGUGUGUGAAGAAGGUCUUCGGGUUGUAAAGCACUUUAAGUUGGGAGGCGUUACCAACAGAAUAAGCACCGGCUAACUUCGUGCCAGCAGCCGCGGUAAUAC